GAGGACGGGCACCAAAUCUGCAUUGUCCAUUGCUAUUUCCCAGGUUGAGUUGCUGAAGCGGCUUCAUUGUCUGGGGACAUACCCAUGGUUCGUCAUCACGUGACGAGAAGAUUAAGGACACAGACGCAAACACGGAGCGGGUCAAGUAGCGGAAAGUUUAAUACGCAGGAAAGAAGAGAGCAGCUCACCGGUAGAGAGCCGUCAGUGGUGUGCCAGAUAAGAAGCUAUGCACUGAAAAGAUGGAGAGGAGCGGCGAGAUUCUGCAUCUUAGCUUGCCUAGGUGGGGAGCAGGAAAAAGGAGGAAGACUGAAGCACAAAGCUUCUCUCGUCUGUGUCACCCUCUGCAAGGAGUUUGCAGUUGGACUGGAAAACCCACAUUUCCCACUGAGUGCUUUACCACUCUCAGUGGAACUUAGGUUCUGAUACUGAGAACAAAGGAGAGAAUGGACAAUGAAGGGAUCACUAGCAGUUUUCGUUACAAAUAGUAUCUUGAAAAAACCUUAACAAUAAGGUGAGGUGUGGUGGCUCAUGCCUGUAAUAUCAGCACUUUGGGAGACCGAGGUGGGCAGAUUGCUUGAGCCCAGGAGUUGGAGACCAGCCUGGGCAACAUGGCGAAACCCUGUCUCUACAAAAAUAUACAAAAAAUUAGCCAGCAUG
rnacentral:antisense_RNA from 1 species